rnacentral:ncRNA from 2 species
CACCCGGCGAAGUGCGACGAUGCCGGGGCUGUGAGGGGAGUGCGAGGAAGCCGGUGUGACUCCGGCGCCGUCCCGCGACUGUGACCGACCGCGUGUCGGAAGUCAGGAACUCGUCCCCCUCUUACUCGACCG